ACAAAUCGUUAAAGAUUAACAACCAUUCAUUCAUAAUAAAAUCACAUAGGGUUCAUCUAAUUUAAGAAUGAGUGGUUUGCCUACUCAUAAUCUCGAAAAAAAAAUCAAAAUCAACAAAGGAAACCGUUGCGUCUAGAUUUACACAAUGAACUAUGAAAGCCUUAAUUUCGCCGAUUCCCAUCGUAGAACUUGAUUCGUCAUUGCCGAUUCGAGGUCCUUGAAGUAAAUGUUUCCUUGUUGCCAAAUUCUCUAAAAUUUUCUCUGAAUUUGUCCGAAAAAAUGUUGGCGCGUAACACUGUCAAACAUUACGCCUAAAGCUAGGCUCAAUUAUUGACAAAUAUAAGGCGCCAUUCUUGACAACGUCCAGAAUUUGCUUUCUUCGACUCCUUGGUUCAUCAUGUCUCGUCCAUGCAUGCAUGUACUGCUCAAAUAGUGCAUCGAUAUCAUCUCGU
rnacentral:lncRNA from 1 species